UCCGGCAAGUCGCGACAAUGGACACUACUCCACUCUCUGUAACAAACUCCACGUGGCCCUGAACGGCUCACUACCAGGCAGUUACGGACAUCGCUGUCAAUCGGUUACGCUCUUCUGUCUAUAAAAGGGACCCCCCAGAUACGUUCUCUUGGGAGGCUCUAAGCACUAUCUCUAAACUUUGCUAAAAUCUCAUUCAAGUACUCCAUUUCUGUUAAAGCAGAGUACUGAC
rnacentral:lncRNA from 1 species